rnacentral:rRNA from 1 species
AGUCGAACGAGAAUCUACUGAAAGAGUUUUCGGACAAUGGAUGUAGAGGAAAGUGGCGGACGGGUGAGUAACGCGUGAGGAACCUGCCUUGAAGAGGGGGACAACAGUUGGAAACGACUGCUAAUACCGCAUGACGCAUAGAGGUCGCAUGAUCUUUAUGCCAAAGAUUUAUCGCUUCAAGAUGGCCUCGCGUCUGAUUAGCUAGUUGGCGGGGUAACGGCCCACCAAGGCGACGAUCAGUAGCCGGACUGAGAGGUUGAACGGCCACAUUGGGACUGAGAUACGGCCCAGACUCCUACGGGAGGCAGCAGUGGGGAAUAUUGGGCAAUGGGCGCAAGCCUGACCCAGCAACGCCGCGUGAAAGAAGAAGGCUUUCGGGUUGUAAACUUCUUUUAAGAGGGAAGAGCAGAAGACGGUACCUCUAGAAUAAGCCACGGCUAACUACGUGCCAGCAGCCGCGGUAAUACGUAGGUGGCAAGCGUUGUCCGGAUUUACUGGGUGUAAAGGGCGUGCAGCCGGGUCUGCAAGUCAGAUGUGAAAUCCAUGGGCUCAACCCAUGAACUGCAUUUGAAACUGUAGAUCUUGAGUGUCGGAGGGGCAAUCGGAAUUCCUAGUGUAGCGGUGAAAUGCGUAGAUAUUAGGAGGAACACCAGUGGCGAAGGCGGAUUGCUGGACGAUAACUGACGGUGAGGCGCGAAAGUGUGGGGAGCAAACAGGAUUAGAUACCCUGGUAGUCCACACUGUAAACGAUGAAUACUAGGUGUGCGGGGACUGACCCCUUGCGUGCCGCAGUAAACACAAUAAGUAUUCCACCUGGGG